GACGAACGCUGGCGGCGUGCUUAACACAUGCAAGUCGUACGGUAAGGCCCUUUCGGGGGUACACGAGUGGCGAACGGGUGAGUAACACGUGAGUAACCUGCCCACAACUUUGGGAUAACGCUAGGAAACUGGUGCUAAUACUGGAUAUGUGCUCCUGCUGCAUGGUGGGGGUUGGAAAGCUCCGGCGGUUGUGGAUGGACUCGCGGCCUACCAGCUUGUUGGUGGGGUAGUGGCCUACCAAGGCGGCGACGGGUAGCCGGCCUGAGAGGGUGACCGGCCACAUUGGGACUGAGAUACGGCCCAGACUCCUACGGGAGGCAGCAGUGGGGAAUAUUGCACAAUGGGCGCAAGCCUGAUGCAGCAACGCCGCGUGCGGGAUGACGGCCUUCGGGUUGUAAACCGCUUUCAGCAGGGACGAAGCUUUUUGUGACGGUACCUGCAGAAGAAGCACCGGCUAACUACGUG
rnacentral:rRNA from 1 species